ensembl:snRNA U6 U6 spliceosomal RNA
GUGCACACUUUGGCAGCACAUAUGCUAAAGCUGAAACGAUACAGAAAAGAUUAGCACGGCCCCUGUGCUAGGAAACAGGCAAAUUCAUGAAGCCUUCUGUAUUUUA